rnacentral:rRNA from 1 species
CUAAGGGUCCGUAGCCGGUUUGAUCAGUCUUCCGGGAAAUCUGACAGCUCAACUGUUAGGCUUCUGGGGGAUACUGUCAGACUUGGAACCGGGAGAGGUAAGAGGUACUACAGGGGUAGGAGUGAAAUCUUGUAAUCCUUGUGGGACCACCAGUGGCGAAGGCGUCUUACCAGAACGGGUUCGACGGUGAGGGACGAAAGCUGGGGGCACGAACCGGAUUAGAUACCCGGGUAGUCCCAGCCGUAAACGAUGCUCGCUAGGUGUCUGGGAUGGUGCGACCGUUUCAGGUGCCGCAGGGAAGCCGUGAAGCGAGCCACCUGGGAAGUACGGCCGCAAGGCUGAAACUUAAAGGAAUUGGCGGGGGAGCACUACAACGGGUGGAGCCUGCGGUUUAAUUGGACUCAACGCCGGAAAACUCACCUGGGGCGACAGC